rnacentral:rRNA from 1 species
UACGUAGGGUGCAAGCGUUGUCCGGAAUUAUUGGGCGUAAAGAGCUCGUAGGCGGUUUGUCGCGUCUGCUGUGAAAACUCAGGGCUUAACUCUGAGCUUGCAGUGGGUACGGGCAGACUAGAGUGCGGUAGGGGAGACUGGAAUUCCUGGUGUAGCGGUGAAAUGCGCAGAUAUCAGGAGGAACACCGGUGGCGAAGGCGGGUCUCUGGGCCGAUACUGACGUGGAGGAGCGAAAGCGUGGGGAGCGAACAGG